AUGGAUCUACACCCACAAGUGUUGUGCUGGAACGUGAGAGGCCUCAACAAUCCAGCCAAGAGGAAGGCAGUUAGGGAGUUUGUGGUGGCAGCCAGAGUUAACAUAGUGUGUCUUCAAGAGACUAAGCUAAAUGUAAUUGACCGUUUCAUGGCUAUGCAAUGCAUUGGUUCAUCUUUGGACGGCUUUGUUUAUUCGCCGGCGUCUGACACUAGAGGGGGUAUUUUGCUAGCAUGGGAUAGCAUGGUCAUGGAUGUGGACAAUUUUGCAUACGAUGCCAACUUCAUAACAGGGCAAGUGCACAAUAGAGACGGUUCGGACUGGUGGUUUUCUAUGGUCUACGAGCCACAAGACGAUGCGCCAAAGCGGAAAUUUCUAAGGGAUCUGCAGGCUAGACAUACGACUUGUCAUGGGUCGUGGAUGGUGUUGGGGGACUUUAACAUGGUCCUUAGAGCUGGGGAGAAGAACAACAACAAUCUCAAUAGGCAUGUCAUGGGCAAAUUCUGA
rnacentral:rRNA from 1 species